rnacentral:rRNA from 1 species
AGAGUUUGAUCCUGGCUCAGAGCGAACGCUGGCGGCGUGCUUAACACAUGCAAGUCGAACGGGUGUAGCAAUACAUCCGUGGCGAACGGGUGCGUAACACGUGGAUAACCUUCCUUGAGGUGGGGAAUAACCCAGUGAAAAUUGGGCUAAUACCGCAUAACAAUGCGAUGGCACAUGCUGUUGCAUUCAAAGGCGCAAGUCGCCACAAGAGGGAUCCGCGGCCGAUUAGCUAGUUGGCGAGGUAAUGGCUCACCAAGGCAUUGAUCGGUAGCCGGACUGAGAGGUUGGCCGGCCACACUGGAACUGAGACACGGUCCAGACUCCUACGGGAGGCAGCAGUGGGGAAUCUUGCACAAUGGGCGAAAGCCUGAUGCAGCAACGCCGCGUGGGGGAUGAAGCUUCUCGGAGUGUAAACCCCUUUCGACCCGGAAGAAUACCCGCAAGGGUAUGACGGUACGGGUAUAAGAAGCCCCGGCUAACUACGUGCCAGCAGCCGCGGUAAUACGUAGGGGGCCAGCGUUGCUCGGAAUUACUGGGCGUAAAGGGUCCGUAGGCGGUGCAGCAAGUCGAUAGUGAAAUCUCUGGGCUUAACCCAGAGGCUGCUAACGAAACUGCUGUGCUAGAGUGUGAGAGAGGCGAGUGGAAUUACGGGUGUAGCGGUGAAAUGCGUAGAUAUCCGUAGGAACAUCCGAGGCGAAGGCGGCUCGCUGGAUCACAACUGACGCUGAGGGACGAAAGCUAGGGGAGCAAACAGGAUUAGAUACCCUAGUAGUCC